ACCAUGUUGGCUCAGGGGCAGAGCACCUGCUUGGAAUGCAGAAGGUCCCGGGACCAAUCCCCAAUGGCAUCUCCUGGUA